rnacentral:lncRNA from 1 species
UGUCUCUCCCCAGAACGCUGGGAGGGGGGCCGGCGUCCCCGGGAUGACUAUCGCAGGAGGAGUCCUCCCCCUCGGCGCAGAGUCACCAUCAUGUCUCUUCUCACCACCCUCUGAGUCUGCAUUAGCCAGCCAACUAGCCCUUUCAGCGUCAUGUGACCAGCGCGCCCCAUGCAGCUUGGCUGGUGUCGUUUCACAUGACCCAGGCAUGGCCAGUCGUCAGGUUGCACCGCCCUUUGGUUCCCGAGCAUGCUGUUUUCUCUCAGCCUUCUCUCCAACCUUAACCAAAUCGGCAGCAGCCACCUCGACCGCCCACACAUUCCCGGCCAAUCAGCUCAGCUGUUUAUUUACCAAAUGUCUUCACAACAACUACAGCAGCAGCCUUCGGCUAACAAAAAAGCAGGAAAAAUCCACAACACCCCCUUCGCCAACCAACUAA